AGUGAACGCUGGCGGUAGGCCUAACACAUGCAAGUCGAACGGCAGCACAGUAAGAGCUUGCUCUUACGGGUGGCGAGUGGCGGACGGGUGAGGAAUACAUCGGAAUCUACUUUUUCGUGGGGGAUAACGUAGGGAAACUUACGCUAAUACCGCAUACGACCUACGGGUGAAAGCAGGGGAUCUUCGGACCUUGCGCGAUUGAAUGAGCCGAUGUCGGAUUAGCUAGUUGGCGGGGUAAAGGCCCACCAAGGCGACGAUCCGUAGCUGGUCUGAGAGGAUGAUAAGCCACACUGGAACGGAGACACGGUCAAGACUCCUACGGGAGGGAGCAGUGGGGAAUAUUGGACAAUGGGCGCAAGCCUGAUCCAGCCAUACCGCGUGGGUGAAGAAGGCCUUCGGGUUGUAAAGCCCUUUUGUUGGGAAAGAAAAGCAGCAGGUUAAUACCCCGCUGUUCUGACGGUACCCAAAGAAUAAGCACCGGCUAACUUCGUG
rnacentral:rRNA from 1 species